GUGGUUGUUGCAGUGGUCUUUAGUUGUGUUGUUGCAGUCGUCAUCGUCCUGCUUAGACAGAAAUAUUACCACAGUUGGUCACACAGGGACUCUGAGAGGCAUGAGAUGGCCCAAGCAACAAAUAAAGACACUUCUGAACCCAUUCUGACGUGUGACGAUUUGAAGGUUCAACUUUGACAGCAAGGAGACGAUGGAAUUCAUGAGAUUACCAGAUGAAAAUAUGAAACUGUGUGAAGUGAAGAACUUUAAACUAUUAUUUAGUGUAAACUAAUAUAGUAAUCUAGGAUAUUUUUAUGCAUUUCUUUUUUUUUUAAACAAUUGAGCUUUAACAAGUUUUUCCUCUGCACGUUGAAACUUUGACAAUGAGAAGAAUUCAUUUUGAGCUCAGGUAACUACUUUCAUGCACUUUGACCUGUAAAUGUUGUAUCUCAUGUAUUUACAAAAAUGAUCCACCUGUCUUUGUUUGGUUUAGUUUGAAUUAAUAACUUGUGUUUUCAUGUGAAAAUGUUUUGUAUAAUGCACAUCUACUGUUGCUUCUUUAUUUUCUUUAUAUUUCUGUAAAUAACAUUUUUUU